rnacentral:rRNA from 1 species
CGCGUAGGCGGUCUAAUAAGUCAGUGGUGAAAACUAUGGGCUCAACCCAUAGCCUGCCACUGAUACUGUUAGACUUGAGUAUGGAAGAGGAGAAUGGAAUUCCUAGUGUAGCGGUGAAAUGCGUAGAUAUUAGGAGGAACACCAGUGGCGAAGGCGAUUCUCUGGGCCAAAACUGACGCUGAGGCGCGAAAGCGUGGGGAGCAAACA